UGAACAGGGGAGGGUCAGAGAAAGAGGGAGACACAGAAUCUGAAACAGGCUCCAGGCUCUGAGCUGUCAGCACAGAGCCCGACGUGGGGCUUGAACCCACGGACUGCGAGAUCAUGACCUGAGCCGAAGUCGGCUGCUUAACCGGCUGAGCCACCCAGGUACCCCAAAAAUGAGGUCUAUGUUUUAAAGCAGGCCUUGUUCUGCUCUAAGUCUGCCUUGGCCCCCCGUGACCUCAGACAAAGUCCUCCACCUCUGUGUCUCCCUGUACUCCUCCACAAACCCAGGUUACCAGCUGGGCCGGGCUCAGGAUCCUCACAGACCGGUGUUGUGUUUAUAAUCCAUUGUGGCUUACAAAAGAAGGCUGUGCCAAGGGCCCGAGUGGGCACUCCAGUCCAGCUCCUGCUCUGCUUUUCAAGCUAUGGAUGUGCCAGGAAAAAAGGGCAUCGGUUCCUAAUACAUAAAAAGGCCCCGGUGGGUCAGCAGUGGCCCUCAGCCACCAUAUGGUGCUACUACCAGGACUGAUAGGGUUAAGAGUUGUGGAGUACGUAGAACAGCACCUAGCAUGCCAGAAAUAGUGUCAUCAUGGUCCCAGAAGGCGGGACAGGGUUCCUAGAUACCGUGACAGUAUCAAGGAAGGGUUCCAUUCUUAGAUUUUUUUUUUAAUGUUUUUAUUUAUUUUUGAGAGAGAGAGAAACAGAGUGUGAGCAGGGGAGGGGCAGAGAGAGAGGGAGACACAGAAUCUGAAGCAGAUUCCAGGCUCCAAGCUGUCAGCACAGAGCCCGAUGCGGGGCUCGAACUCACCAACUGUGAGAUCAUGACCUGAGCCGAAGUCGGACGCUCAAUCGACUGAGCCCCCCAGGCGCCCCAAGGAAGGGUUCCAUUCUAUUUUGCUUUGGGGGGAUAAGGGGCCAUGGGUGUACUUAAGCCGAUGUCAUUUAAUUUUUUGAAAAAUUUUAAUGUUUAUUUAUUUUUGAGAGAGAGACAGAGCGUGAGUGGGGGAGGGGCAGAGAGAGAGGGAGACACAGAAUCCGAAGCAGGCUCCAGGCUCCGAACUGUCAGCACAAAGUCCCACGCGGGGCUCAAACUCCCAAACCGCGAGUUCAUGACCUGAGCCGAAGUCGGACGCUUAACCGACUGAGCCCCCCAGGCGCCCCUAGCCGAUGUCAUUUAAAUCUCAAAGGAAAAUGAACUGAGCUGAUGCCCAGUCUACAAAUGAACACAUAUUUGCACACCCACAUUCAUAGCAGCAUUAUUCACAAGAGCCAAAACGUGGAAGCAACCCAAGUGCCUGUUGACAGAUGAAUAAACAAAAUGUGCACUAUGAACACAAUGAAAUAUUAUUCAGCCUUAAAAAGGAAGGAAAUUCUGACGCACGCUACAACCUAGAUGAGCCUUGAGGACAUUACACCAAGUGAAAUAAGUCCGUCACUAAAAGACAGAUCCUGUAUAAUUCUACUUAUAUUAGGUGCCUAGAAGAGUCAAAUCCACAGACACAGAAGUAGAACGGUGGUUGCCAGGGGUUGAAGGGAGGGGGAAAUGUGGAAUUGUUGUUUAAUGGACACUGAGUUUCAGUUUUUCCAGGAUGAAAAAGUUCUGGAGAUGGAUGGUGUUGAUGGCCACACAACAACGUGGAUGUACUGAAUGCCACCGAAGUUCAACUUGUUGUUGACUAGUGGUUUUCAUCUUUCACAAGUGGCCUGCUGUCAAUGCUCCUAGAACAACCAGAAACACAAGUGCUUCCUGGUCCCCCUGGCACCUCAAAGGUCAUUGCCCUUGUUUUUGAGAAGUUGCUAGUCUUGGACGUCCGGUGUCUCAGUCAGAAUUCCUAGUGACAAGAGAUAGAAACCAAAUCCAGCUCA